AAAACACGGAAGUUUAAGAUUAAAAAUUAACCUCGAGGUAAACGUCUAUGGCCCGAUGGAGAUCAUCUUCGACCUUUCUGGCUCCUUUAGGGACGAGAUUAGCAAUAGCGUUGAACUUGGAGAUGGUGAGUUCAACUACGGUUGCUAUCUC